rnacentral:lncRNA from 1 species
UGGUGAGUUUUCUUCUCGUCUGGGUUAAGCAUAUCUUUCUUCUUCCGAUAAGAAGCCCGCCUCUUUGCGUUUAUACGAUCCCUUUGUUCGUCAGUCAAUGUAUUUUUGUGACCAAUUGGAGGUAUUUGUCUUGUUUCUUUGCUAUUAUCCAAGACAGCUCCUCCUGUCAUGUUAGUUGGGGUGGCUAUUUCAGCAAGAGAUACUCCAUCAUCCUCAAAAACAUAUUAUGCAAGAACUAUGCUAACAAUAUAGAUGUAUAUUGUUUUUUAGUAAAUCAUUAUAUUUGGCAUCUUUAAAUUUUCUAGCUUCGGAUGAGACCUGUAGCAUAAUAUUUUUGAAGAGCUUAACUUCAUAGCGUAGCAUAUACGUGUAGCUACAUCUGAAACUUUGUCAUCUUCAGUAGCUUUGCUUUUUGAAUUCCCCACACCUACAAUGAAUGGGCAGCCCUAUCAGAUCCAUCAUUUUUGCAUGACUAUGAACUGUAAAAUGAAUCAGAUACAUGAGGUUCAGAACAAUGGUAAAAGCUACAUAUUUAACUUGUAGGCAACGAUUAAAUAACUACAAAAUUAGCUCGGACGAGACCACAAAGGCCCAUACAUUAGGCGGUAUAAAAUGUGAAAGUUGAUUCAAAUGAACAUCUGAACUUUAUAGCGAAACAAAUACAUGGUCCAGUAGAGCAUUCAUUGUCAUCAUUGUCACCUACGGCUAUGCCAUUUGCGUUGUAUUCAUCAACAUUUGCCACAUCUAUAUUAAUUUGAUCAGCAUCGUCAUCAUCAGCAUGCAUGACUUGAUCUAUAAAAUCAUCUGUUCCAUUUGGCAGUAUAAGAAGCUUGCAACUGCCACUUUAGGAGUAGAGAUACUAACAUAUAUGUAGCAAGUUGUUAGAGAAUUCCUACCAUUAUUUUUUUGUUAUUUAUAGUUUUAUGUUGUUUACUAUUAAUCUUCAUGAUAUUUCUAAUGAAUAUUAUGUGAUAGUUGUAGGCAACGAAUAAAUAACUACAAAAUUAGCUCGGAUGAGACCACAAAGGCUCCAGAUUAUAUGUUGAGCAGGCUGCAGGGAGAUUGUCCACCACAUCUACAUUCUGGGAUUCCUCUCAUAUUAUUUUUCGAGUGGUUCGCAUAAGGCCAUAGGCCCAAUCCUCGUCAAGUUAAUCGGUAAUCACACCCGAUACUAGUCAUUCCCAGACAUCAGUAAAGAUUGAUGUUACCUAUUUAAUAAGUUGCAUGUGUUUCCCUUACCUGCAUUUUUGUCUCCGUUUAGUUUAUGGUAUUGAUGUGUGAAUCAAGUUCACGAUCUUAGCGGCAUAAAUUAUGAAAGUUGAUUCCAAUGCAUACACUUGUAGGUAAACUUCAUAGCGUAGCAUAUACCUGUAGCUACAUAUGAAACUUUUUCAUCUUCAGUAGCCUUGCUUUUUGAAUUCACCAUACCUACAAUGAAUGGGCAGCUCAAUCAGAUCCAUAAGGGUAAAUCUUUUUGCAUGACUAUGAUCUGUAAACUGAAUAAGAUCCAUGAGGUUCCGAACAGUGGUAAAAGGUACAUAUUUAACUUGUAGGCAAUGAUUAAAUAACUACAAAAUUAGUUCGGAUGAGACCACAAAGCCCCAUUCAUUAGGCGAUAUAAAAUGUGAAAAGUUGAUUCAAAUGAAUACACCUCUAGGUACAAUUUUUUUUUGAACAGCUUAUAACUUCAUAGCGUAGCAUAUACCUGUAGCUACAUCUGAAACUUUGUCACCUUCAAUAGCCUUGCUUUUUGAAUUCCCCAUACCUACAAUGAAUGCAUGC